UACGAGGGGAGCAAGCGUUGUUCGGAUUUACUGGGCGUAAAGGGCGCGUAGGCGGCCACGACAAGUCACUUGUGAAAUCUCCGGGCUUAACUCGGAACGGUCAAGUGAUACUGUCGGGCUAGAGUACAGAAGGGGCAGCUGGAAUUCUCGGUGUAGCGGUGAAAUGCGUAGAUAUCGAGAGGAACACCUGCGGCGAAGGCGGGUUGCUGGGCUGAUACUGACGCUGAUGCGCGAAAGCCAGGGGAGCGAACGGG
rnacentral:rRNA from 1 species